rnacentral:rRNA from 1 species
UACAGAGGGUGCAAGCGUUGUUCGGAAUUAUUGGGCGUAAAGCGCGUGUAGGCGGCUUAGCAAGUCGGGCGUGAAAGCCCUCGGCCCAACCGAGGAAGUGCACCCGAAACUGCUGAGCUUGAGUGCCGGAGAGGAUGGCGGAAUACCCCAAGUAGAGGUGAAAUUCGUAGAUAUGGGGUGGAACACCGGUGGCGAAGGCGGCCAUCUGGACGGUAACUGACGCUGAGACGCGAAAGCGUGGGUAGCAAACAGG